rnacentral:tmRNA from 1 species
GGGGCAGACUUGGAUUUGACAGCAUGAAGAAUAGGUAUGUAAGCAUGUCGGGAGCAGUGAAACGGCCCGUAAAUCCCGGACACAAAAUUUUAAUUGGCGAAAAUAGAUACGCUUUCGCUGCCUGAUCUUUAGAAGAUUCGAGGCUUAAUCCCUGCUCAAGGAGCGGGGACGAAACAUCCCGCCAGUGGUUCCGCCUUAUUCCGGCUGGCAAUCGGGGUGCAGUCAAUAUAAGGAUAGCCUGAGCCGUCUCCGGGCAAAAGGCGAAAAUUCAGGAGAUAAGCAGUAGCUUGGGUGUCACUUUCCGGACUACUGACGAAAACCAACAAGUGACUAAACAUGUAGAAAGCAUACAGGUUCCGUGUUUGGACCAGGGUUCGAAACCCUGCUGCUCCACU